rnacentral:rRNA from 1 species
GUGUCAGCAGCCGCGGUAAUACGUAGGGGGCAAGCGUUAUCCGGAUUUAUUGGGCGUAAAGCGCGCGUAGGCGGCCGACCACGUCGGAUGUGAAAGCUCAGGGCUCAACCCUGAGAGGCCAUUCGAUACGGGUCGGCUAGAGGCAGGUAGGGGAGAAUGGAAUUCCUGGUGUAGCGGUGAAAUGCGCAGAUAUCAGGAGGAACACCGGUGGCGAAGGCGGUUCUCUGGGCCUGUUCUGACGCUGAGGUGCGAAAGCUGGGGGAGCAAACAGGAUUAGAUACCCGUGUAGUCC